GGGGAAUAUUGCGCAAUGGGCGAAAGCCUGACGCAGCGACGCCGCGUGAGGGAUGAAGGCCUUCGGGUCGUAAACCUCUGUCAGGAGGGAAGAACCGCCAUGGUGCUAAUCAGCCAUGGUCUGACGGUACCUCCAAAGGAAGCACCGGCUAACUCCGUGCCAGCAGCCGCGGUAAUACGGAGGGUGCAAGCGUUAAUCGGAAUCACUGGGCGUAAAGCGCACGUAGGCUGUUUGGUAAGUCAGGGGUGAAAUCCCGCGGCUCAACCGGUAGCUGCGUUCAAAACUGUUUUUCUUGAGUGAAGUAGAGGCAGGCGGAAUUCCUAGUGUAGCGGUGAAAUGCGUAGAUAUUAGGAGGAACACCAGUGGCGAAGGCGGCCUGCUGGGCUUUUACUGACGCUGAGGCUCGAAAGUGUGGGGAGCAAACA
rnacentral:rRNA from 1 species